rnacentral:rRNA from 1 species
GGGGAAUAUUGCGCAAUGGGGGAAACCCUGACGCAGCGACGCCGCGUGAGCGAAGAAGGCCUUAGGGUUGUAAAGCUCUGUUUUAGGGGACGAAUGUCGUGGGGAGUAAUAUGACCUACGAAUGACGGUACCCUAAGAGGAAGCCCCGGCUAACUACGUGCCAGCAGCCGCGGUAAGACGUAGGGGGCGAGCGUUGUCCGGAAUUACUGGGCGUAAAGAGCACGUAGGCGGGAACCUAAGUCAGGUGUGAAAGACCGUGGCUCAACCACGGGGUGGCAUUUGAAACUGGGUUUCUUGAGGGCAGGAGAGGAAAGCAGAAUUCCUGGUGUAGCGGUGAAAUGCGUAGAAAUCAGGAGGAAUACCAGUGGCGAAGGCGGCUUUCUGGACUGACCCUGACGCUGAGGUGCGAAAGCGUGGGUAGCAAAC